AUGGCGCGAGAGCUGAGCAAGGAGAACCUGGAGUGGGUCCUCAUGCAGGCCAUGAUGGCCGCCAAGAACGUGCGCACGCAGCGCGACCGCCUCCUGGAGCUCCACCGCCGCCUGGAGCGCCACCGGGCCGCCCCCGCCCCCACCCCUGCCGACGCCGAGGCCAGGCUCGGGCAGAUCGCCUCGGACGUCUUCAAGGUCUACUACCUCGGCCUGGACCCCGGCGCCAGGAUGCUCUGGGUCUGCCUCGACGCCGCCGUCAAGAACCGCGCCGUCUCCGCCGUCAACAUCGCCUUCGCGCUCCUGCCCGACGAGCAGCUCUACGACGCGCUGCUCGCGCAGAAGCUCCCGGCCCACCCCACCACCCAGCCCCAGGCCAUCGCCCGCGUCGAGUCCGCCAUCUUGGCCGUCAAGAUGCUCGAGGAGCACCACCUCCCGCGCUGCGUCGAGUGCCUCGUCGGCGGCCACGCCCCCGUCCCCGGCAAGCCCCGCGACCCGGUCGCCGCCGCCACCGAGAGCCUCGCCAAGGUCGAUCUGUCCGACGACCCGGACGCCACCGCCAAGACCCGUCACGUAGCCAGCGAUGGCGACGUGGACAAGGCGCUCGACUACCUGUGCCGCGCAAACCGGAUCACGGCCCUCGCCAUCAAGCACAUCGACCUCGCCGUCGCCGUCCUCUCCCGCUUCCUCGACCGCAAGGAGCUCGCCCGCCUCGCCAAGUUGACCGACCGUGGCGCCUACCUAGGAGUUGAGAUUAGCCAGCCCACUACUUCACCUGAUCCAUUGACGCUGUCGACAUGGGACUGA
rnacentral:rRNA from 1 species